GACGAACGCUGGCGGCGUGCCUAACACAUGCAAGUCGAACGGAAAGGCCCUGCAUUUGUGGGGUGCGCGAGUGGCGAACGGGUGAGUAACACGUGAGUAACCUGUCCUUGACUUUGGGAUAACUUCAGGAAACUGGGGUUCUUCUCGCAUAGGAGCUCUUGCUGCAGGGUGGGGGUGGGUAAGUUUCGCUGGUUGGGGAUGGAAUCGCGGCGCAUCAGCUUGUUGGUUGGGUAGUGUAUUACCAAGGCUUUGACGGGUUGCCGGCCUGGACGGGUGACCGGCCACAUUGGGAUGGAGAUACGACCCGGACUCCAACGGGAGGGAGGGGUGAGGAAUAGACCACAAUAGGCUGAGGCCUGGUGCAACAACGCCGCGUGGGGUAAGACGGCCUUCGGGUUGUAACGCGCUUUCGCCUGUGACGAAGCGUGAGUGACGGUAAUGGGUAAAGAAGCACCGGCUAACUACGUG
rnacentral:rRNA from 1 species